UGGGGAAUAUUGCACAAUGGGCGCAAGCCUGAUGCAGCCAUGCCGCGUGUGUGAAGAAGGCCUUCGGGUUGUAAAGCACUUUCAGCGGGGAGGAAGGCGGUGAGGUUAAUAACCUCAUCGAUUGACGUUACCCGCAGAAGAAGCACCGGCUAACUCCGUGCCAGCAGCCGCGGUAAUACGGAGGGUGCAAGCGUUAAUCGGAAUUACUGGGCGUAAAGCGCACGCAGGCGGUCUGUCAAGUCGGAUGUGAAAUCCCCGGGCUCAACCUGGGAACUGCAUUCGAAACUGGCGGGCUUGAGUCUUGUAGAUGGGGGUAGAAUUCCAGGUGUAGCGGUGAAAUGCGUAGAGAUCUGGGGGAAUACCGGUGGCGAAGGCGGCCCCCUGGACAAACACUGACGCUCAGGUGCGAAAGCGUGGGGAGCAAACAGG
rnacentral:rRNA from 1 species